CAGAUGGACCUGGGUGGAGAUCUACUAAGACUUCAUAGGGUCCUGCUUGAUUACAUUUCCUUCGGGUGUCAUCCUCCCUACUUGGGGAAUGGACACAGAGUUGGAAAUAAUCUCGACUUUCAAACUUAGCAUCAAUAGUCUGUAUUAAGACAAUAUUAUUUCUCUCUUUGAUUGCCUUGUCAUAACCCCUGGACAAACAUUUGAAAAUUGUGAGACAUAUUACCAUGAGGAUAAUGAUUAAAGUACACAUUUGUCAUAUUUUUCAAGAGUCCUCCUAGUUUAGAGGACAACAAGGAAGAAGUGUUUUUGAGGGUUUCCAUUUGAUAUAUGUAGUAUCCAAGUGGUCUUUGCUGUGAGGCUAGAAUUUGAGCUGUCUUGUUCACAAUUAGUGCUGCAACUCGAGAAAGCACCUGCUUGAAAGGAAGAGUAUGUGUGCUGAUCAGAGAGACCACCUCAAGAAUAAAUAAGUUAUAAAAAAUUAUAUGUAUAAAAAAAGAGUUUCAGACCAAAUGCCAAUGACAAACAAGAAAUAGCCUCCUAAGCUCAGAAAAUCCAGGCCAAAGUCCUGCCAUUCAUUUUUGCCUUGCAGAUUUCUCUCUUCUAGAAGUCUGGCUUUGUCAGAAGGCCGUUGUAGCACGAGAAUAUACUCUUUCAAACAAUCCAAAGAAAACAUCAAACCAAAAGGCACAGGAAGAAUAGGAGCAAGCUACACGUGCUGCGAAGAAACAAGAAUUUGAGAGGCAAAAACGAGAGAGAAGAGAUGCUCCAAGAAGUGUGGUGGGUUCGGUGGCUCCGCACUCAAAGCAGUGGACUGGCCAGAACAAACUUUCCUGGAAUAUUGAGCUGCCUUGGACAACAGAUGGUUUCUCCAGAAGUUAGAGAUGUUUAACUCUGAGCAGCCUUAUCAGAAUCUGAAACCCCUGCCAGAUGGAAGAAGUG